rnacentral:rRNA from 1 species
GAUGAACGCUGGCGGCGUGCCUAAUACAUGCAAGUCGAGCGAACAGACGAGGAGCUUGCUCCUCUGACGUUAGCGGCGGACGGGUGAGUAACACGUGGAUAACCUACCUAUAAGACUGGGAUAACUUCGGGAAACCGGAGCUAAUACCGGAUAAUAUAUUGAACCGCAUGGUUCAAUAGUGAAAGACGGUUUUGCUGUCACUUAUAGAUGGAUCCGCGCCGCAUUAGCUAGUUGGUAAGGUAACGGCUUACCAAGGCAACGAUGCGUAGCCGACCUGAGAGGGUGAUCGGCCACACGGGAACUGAGACACGGUCCAGACUCCUACGGGAGGCAGCAGUAGGGAAUCUUCCGCAAUGGGCGAAAGCCUGACGGAGCAACGCCGCGUGAGUGAUGAAGGUCUUCGGAUCGUAAAACUCUGUUAUCAGGGAAGAACAAAUGUGUAAGUAACUAUGCACGUCUUGACGGUACCUAAUCAGAAAGCCACGGCUAACUACGUG